rnacentral:rRNA from 1 species
UACGGAGGGUGCGAGCGUUAAUCGGAAUUACUGGGCGUAAAGGGUGCGUAGGUGGUUAGAUAAGUUAGCUGUGAAAGACCUGAGCUUAACUUGGGAUGGUCAGCUAAGACUGUUUGACUAGAGUAUGGGAGAGGGUAGUGGAAUUUCUGGUGUAGCGGUGAAAUGCGUAGAGAUCAGAAGGAACACCGGUGGCGAAGGCGGCUACCUGGCCUAAUACUGACACUGAGGCACGAAAGCGUGGGGAGCAAAC